UUUUAAACAUAAUUUUUUAUUAUAUGCGUUGAAAAAAUCGUAAAGAGAGUCACGCUUCAGCAUUGAAUAAAAACGGAACCUUCGUAACAGAACACACUAAACUCUGCCUACUGUGAAGCUCCCCUAAAAAACUUUGCGAAAAUGGCAUCUGCAAAAUCUGCGGUAAUCAUGCUGCUGGUAUUGACACACAUUUAUAGUGCAACGGCGGUCGGGUCGGCAAUACAUUCAGAACCAUUGGAUCCAUGCAAAGGUGAAUACCAUGGCCAGGCGUGUCAAAAACAAACCUGUGACUGUAUACCUGUGACUCCAACCAAAAGUGAAAAAUAUUGCUGCCCUGGCUCUCAAUGUUCCAAUCGCAAGUGUAGCUAGGUAUAAUCUAAGCUGAAAUUAAGGCAAAGAAUGUCUUAAAAUUCAGUGCAAAGACAUUCUAAACCGAUUAUUAUUAUUCUAUCACUGACGAAAAUAAAACUUUGUCAUGUUGUGCACAAUUAAUAAAUAAACUGCACAAUAAAA